GCAACAUUUUAUAUUAAGGCAACAGAGAAAGGAAUGGCAAAAAAGAAUGUGGACUUGCAUCUCCAGCUCACCUUGAGACACAGGAAGACAGAGAUGUGAGGGAGGAAUGAAUCUUCUUUACUUCAUCAUUCACCAAACAAGGCAGCAAGAUGACAUUUGGGGGACAAGGCACCACUCCAAUUCUUAGUUUCUCCAAGUGAUCGCCUUGCAAAAGAGGGUCCCAGAAUCAGUGCCUGAGCAAGGAUAGGCAACACUUGCUGGAGCAGCCUGGACAGGAAUCAGCUCUGGAUUCAUGAAACGGCAGAGAGAGUUUGCAGAGCAGCACAGAGAGAGCAGCUGACUGACCGUGGUCCUUCUCCGGGGCCCACCUGUGUGGCUAACUGCCCUGUGAUCACCAGUCAGCAGGGGCACAUAAACAGCAAGGGCAGCAGCCCUCCUCACCCAACGAAACAGGCAAUUGAAGCAAUUGCACGUGAAAUUCACAUUCUUACAAAUUACCUUGAAACAAUUAUACAUAAAAUCCAGGACUUGAUUCCCUUCCCUAUUUGCCAACCUCUGGGUAUCAAGGCCAAAAGGGGGCACUGGGGUGUGAUUUAUCUGUAUUGUCCAAAUUUAUUCAAUGUCUUACUCUUUUUUGUUUCUCUGUGGAAGCCGCAGACCCCUAAAUGCUUUUCUACCGCAUUUGCAUACAAUGUGGUUGGUUUCUUGGUUACUAUUAAGGGUGUGUAUGUAUGUAUGUAUAAU